UACGUAGGGGGCAAGCGUUGUCCGGAAUUACUGGGCGUAAAGCGUGCGCAGGCGGCUUUGCAAGACAGAUGUGAAAUCCCCGGGCUUAACCUGGGAACUGCAUUUGUGACUGCAUGGCUGGAGUGCGGCAGAGGGGGAUGGAAUUCCGCGUGUAGCAGUGAAAUGCGUAGAUAUGCGGAGGAACACCAAAGGCGAAGGCACCAUCCUGGGGAGUCACUGACGCUCGGGUGCGAAAGCUAGGGGAGCGAACGGG
rnacentral:rRNA from 1 species